UUUGUACUCCCUCCGUCCCAAAAAGAUUGUUCCUCAAAUGGAUGUAUCUAGCAUUAAGUUAGUGUUAGAUACAUCCAUUUGAGAGACAAGCUUGAGACAAGCUUUUUCGGACGGAGGGGUAUCAU
rfam:Triticum aestivum genome assembly, contig: Triticum_aestivum_CS42_TGACv1_scaffold_437536_5DL